rnacentral:rRNA from 1 species
AUUGAACGCUGGCGGCAGGCCUAACACAUGCAAGUCGGACGAGCGGCGGACGGGUGAGUAAUGUCUGGGGAACUGCCUGAUGGCGGGGGAUAACUACUGGAAACGGUAGCUAAUACCGCAUACCAUCAGAUGAACCCAUAUGGGAUUAGCUGGUAGGUGGGGUAACGGCUUACCUAGGCGACGAUCCCUAGCUGGUCUGAGAGGAUGAUCAGCCACACUGGAACUGAGACACGGUCCAGACUCCUACGGGAGGCAGCAGUGGGGAAUAUUGCACAAUGGGCGCAAGCCUGAUGCAGCCAUGCCGCGUGUAUGAAGAAGGCCUUCGGGUUGUAAAGUACUUUCAGUCGGGAGGCGUUACUCGCAGAAGAAGCACCGGCUAACUCCGUGCCAGCCGCCGCGGUAAUUC